rnacentral:rRNA from 1 species
AUUGAACGCUGGCGGCAGGCUUAACACAUGCAAGUCGAGCGAGCGGCGGACGGGUGAGUAAUGUCUGGGAAACUGCCUGAUGGAGGGGGAUAACUACUGGAAACGGUAGCUAAUACCGCAUACCAUCAGAUGUGCCCAGAUGGGAUUAGCUAGUAGGUGGGGUAAUGGCUCACCUAGGCGACGAUCCCUAGCUGGUCUGAGAGGAUGACCAACCACAAUGGAAAUGAGAAACGGGCCAGACGCCUACGGGAGGAAGCAGUGGGGAAUAUUGCAAAAUGGGCGAAAGCCUGAUGAAGCAAUGCCGCGUGUGUGAAGAAGGCCUUCGGGUUGUAAAGCACUUUCAGCGAGGAGGCGGUACUCGCAGAAGAAGCACCGGCUAACUCCGUGCCAGCAGCAGAGGUAAUUCC